rfam:Entamoeba histolytica HM-1:IMSS scf_1104750518425 genomic scaffold, whole genome shotgun sequence.
GGUCUCGUGGCGCAGUGGAAACGCGUUUGCCUCCUAAGCAGAAGAUCGUGGGUUCGACCCCCACCGGGAUCG